rnacentral:rRNA from 1 species
CCUGAAAGCACAUUGGGCCCCCACCCCCGGUAAUUCCAGCUCCCAUAGCGUAUAUUAAAGUUGUUGCAGUUAAAAAGCUCGUAGUUGAAUUUCGGAAUCUGUCCGUCGGUCGGGCUUCACUGUCCGCACUGGUGUGAUGGGUCCUUCCUUUCUGAAUAACCGGCAUGU